rnacentral:rRNA from 1 species
GACGAACGCUGGCGGCGUGCUUAACACAUGCAAGUCGAACGGAAAGGCCCUGCUUUUGUGGGGUGCUCGAGUGGCGAACGGGUGUGUAACACGUGAGUAACCUGCCCUUGACUUUGGGAUAACUUCAGGAAACUGGGGCUAAUACCGGAUAGGAGCUCCUGCUGCAUGGUGGGGGUUGGAAAGUUUCGGCGGUUGGGGAUGGACUCGCGGGUUAUCAGCUUGUUGGUGGGGUAGUGGCUUACCAAGGCUUUGACGGGUAGCCGGCCUGAGAGGGUGACCGGCCACAUUGGGACUGAGAGACGGCGCAGACUCCUACGGGAGGCAGCAGUGGGGAAUAUUGCACAAUGGGCGGAAGCCUGAUGCAGCAACGCCGCGUGCGGGAUGACGGCCUUCGGGUUGUAAACCGCUUUCGCCUGUGACGAAGCGUGAGUGACGGUAAUGGGUAAAGAAGCACCGGCUAACUACGUG